GACGAACGCUGGCGGCGUGCUUAACACAUGCAAGUCGAACGGAAAGGCCCUGCUUUUGUGGGGUGCUCGAGUGGCGAACGGGUGAGUAACACGUGAGUAACCUGCCCUUGACUUUGGGAUAACUUCAGGAAACUGGGGCUAAUACCGGAUAGGAGCUCCUGCUGCAUGGUGGGGGUUGGAAAGUUUCGGCGGUUGGGGAUGGACUCGCGGCUUAUCAGCUUGUUGGUGGGGUAGUGGCUUACCAAGGCUUUGACGGGUAGCCGGCCUGAGAGGGUGACCGGCCACAUUGGGACUGAGAUACGGCCCAGACUCCUACGGGAGGCAGCAGUGGGGAAUAUUGCACAAUGGGCGGAAGCCUGAUGCAGCAACGCCGCGUGCGGGAUGACGGCCUUCGGGUUGUAAACCGCUUUCGCCUGUGACGAAGCGUGAGUGACGGUAAUGGGUAAAGAAGCACAGGCUAACUACGUGCCAGCAGCCGCGGUGAUACGUAGGGUGCGAGCGUUGUCCGGAUUUAUUGGGCGUAAAGGGCUCGUAGGUGGUUGAUCGCGUCGGAAGUGUAAUCUUGGGGCUUAACCCUGAGCGUGCUUUCGAUACGGGUUGACUUGAGGAAGGUAGGGGAGAAUGGAAUUCCUGGUGGAGCGGUGGAAUGCGCAGAUAUCAGGAGGAACACCAGUGGCGAAGGCGGUUCUCUGGGCCUUUCCUGACGCUGAGGAGCGAAAGCGUGGGGAGCGAACAGGCUUAGAUACCCUGGUAGUCCACGCUGUAAACGGUGGGUACUAGGUGUGGGGUCCAUUCCACGGGUUCCGUGCCGUAGCUAACGCUUUAAGUACCCCGCCUGGGGAGUACGGCCGCAAGGCUAAAACUCAAAGGAAUUGACGGGGCCCCGCACAAGCGGCGGAGCAUGCGGAUUAAUUCGAUGCAACGCGUAGAACCUUACCUGGGUUUGACAUGGAUCGGGAGCGCUCAGAGAUGGGUGUGCCUCUUUUGGGGUCGGUUCACAGGUGGUGCAUGGCUGCCGUCAGCUCGUGUCGUGAGAUGUUGGGUUAAGUCCCGCAACGAGCGCAACCCUUGUUCACUGUUGCCAGCACGUUAUGGUGGGGACUCAGUGGAGACCGCCGGGGUCAACUCGGAGGAAGGCGGGGAUGACGUCAAGUCAUCAUGCCCCUUAUGUCCAGGGCUUCACGCAUGCUACAAUGGCUGGUACAGAGAGUGGCGAGCCUGUGAGGGUGAGCGAAUCCCGGAAAGCCGGUCUCAGUUCGGAUUGGGGUCUGCAACUCGACCUCAUGAAGUCGGAGUCGCUAGUAAUCGCAGAUCAGCAACGCUGCGGUGAAUACGUUCCCGGGGCU
rnacentral:rRNA from 1 species